rnacentral:tRNA from 1 species
UAAGAUGGCUGAAAUAGUGGCAGGUUGUAGCUCUGUUUAUAAAGGUUUAAGUCCUUUUCUUAC